rnacentral:rRNA from 1 species
GACGAACGCUGGCGGCGUGCCUAAUACAUGCAAGUAGAACGCACAGUUUAUACCGUAGCUUGCUACACCAUAGACUGUGAGUUGCGAACGGGUGAGUAACGCGUAGGUAACCUGCCUGGUAGCGGGGGAUAACUAUUGGAAACGAUAGCUAAUACCGCAUAAUAUUAAUUAUUGCAUGAUAAUUAAUUGAAAGGUGCAAUUGCACCACUACCAGAUGGACCUGCGUUGUAUUAGCUAGUAGGUGAGGUAACGGCUCACCUAGGCGACGAUACAUAGCCGACCUGAGAGGGUGAUCGGCCACCCUGGGACUGAGACACGGCCCAGACUCCUACGGGAGGCAGCAGUAGGGAAUCUUCGGCAAUGGACGAAAGUCUGACCGAGCAACGCCGCGGGAGUGAAGAAGGGUGUCGGAUCGUAAAGCUCUGUUGUAAGAGAAGAACGGGUGUGAGAGUGGAAAGUUCACACUGUGACGGUAUCCUACCAGAAAGGGACGGCUAACUACGUG